rnacentral:rRNA from 1 species
GUCCACGCCGUAAACGGUGGGCGCUAGGUGUGGGGGACUUCCACGUUCUCUGUGCCGCAGCUAACGCAUUAAGCGCCCCGCCUGGGGAGUACGGCCGCAAGGCUAAAACUCAAAGGAAUUGACGGGGGCCCGCACAAGCGGCGGAGCAUGCUGAUUAAUUCGAUGCAACGCGAAGAACCUUACCAAGGCUUGACAUACACCGGAAACUUCCAGAAAUGGUUGCCCCGCAAGGUCGGUGUACAGGUGGUGCAUGGUUGUCGUCAGCUCGUGUCGUGAGAUGUUGGGUUAAGUCCCGCAACGAGCGCAACCCUCGUCUUAUGUUGCCAGCACGUCAUGGUGGGGACUCAUAAGAGACUGCCGGGGUCAACUCGGAGGAAGGUGGGGAUGAGGUCAAAUCAUCAUGCCCCUUAUGUCUUGGGCUUCAAGCAUGCUACAAUGGCCGGUACAAAGGGCUGCGAUACCGCGAGGUGGAGCGAAUCCCAAAAAGCCGGUCUCAGUUCGGAUUGGGGUCUGCAACUCGACCCCAUGAAGUCGGAGUCGCUAGUAAUCGCAGAUCAGCAACGCUGCGGUGAUACGUUCCCGGGCCUGUACUCACCGCC